UGACACGUUGUUGACACUUUGUUGACACGUGACCCAAUUACCGGCCUACCAAGUGCCUUUGGCGACCGCUAACAGCAACUGUGGAACAGUGCAGUGCCCUUUUUUGGAGCAACGUACGAGUAGUGCCCAUGGAUUAUGACCCCGCGACCCCAAUCUACGUGGCGGUCCGCAAUUCGCUACUUCAUACUGACUGGCGUCCGGCAUCGUCCCGAAUUUGGCCACAAUCUGCUCUCGGGACCCCUAUAGGGCUCCCUGACCUGCUCCAUCUCCGCCAUCGUCAAUGUACUGCGCAUCCACCCAGGCCAGGACUGCACUUACUUACGGGAAGGAGUAUUUGCAAGAUGGAACCUGGGAACUGGAAGACGACGAAGAGGAAGCGUGGGAAUCCGGCGGCAAUGGCUGGGAUGUAAGUCCAACAUUGCUGGUGCCAGAGUUGCCACUGCUUGCUUAUAAGGGAAUCAUGUGUGUUGCCUUUUUGCCUUUUCCGACGUCCUCCUCCGACUGUACUCCCGAUCCCAGGACUGAACUUACGGGAAGGAGUGCUUCCAAGAUGGGAGACGAAGAAGAAGAAGCCGCUGAAUCCGGCGGCAAUGGCUGGGAUUGUCGGACUGUCCGCGUCGCAUUGAACUGGUCCGAUGAGGCUGCUAUUGCACACACAGUGAGGGAACUCCCAUACGGGAACUCGGAAGUACUGCUACAGUACAGGUAUAUCACCCCGUGACGACCACAUCGAAGUCUGAAAUUGAAGUGUGAAGAUGCUUCAUCAACCCCUUCAUAUUUUUCCAUUGCUUUUAUUGUGCUUCUACUGUGCAUGUGUGUAACUUGUGGGGUAUGCAUGUGAUGACAAUGUAUGCCGGUGACACGGUCAGAUUUUGUCCAUGCGUGUAACGUACACCUGCAUGCUAUCGUUGAAAAGGAUCUGCCACUUACGAUCUUCGGACGAGUAUCAGGUCAGCUUGGUUUUGUGUGGGCUGUACCAGAUGCUGUUCACUUCUCUAUCUGUUGGAUAUGUGACUUUCUGCAAGUUUCUGGUGUAUGGUGGCCACUUCUUUGCUUGUCUUUGUAUGACAUUACAAUCAUUCUGCACUCACUGCUUCCAUGGUGUGGUCUGCAAACUGCAAUCCUUACGCAAAUAUCAUCACGGUUUGCAAUGUUGUGCUUUGGCUGCCAGCUUACCUUUAUUUUGUUUCACAACUGACUUCCUGAAGUAUG